rnacentral:rRNA from 1 species
UACGAAGGGGGCGAGCGUUGUUCGGAAUUACUGGGCGUAAAGGGCGCGUAGGCGGUGUGUCAAGUCAGGCGUGAAAUCCCCGGGCUCAACCCGGGAACUGCGUCCGAUACUGGCAGGCUUGAAUCCGGGAGAGGGAUGUGGAAUUCCAGGUGUAGCGGUGAAAUGCGUAGAUAUCUGGAGGAACACCGGUGGCGAAGGCGGCAUCCUGGACCGGCAUUGACGCUGAUGCGCGAAAGCCAGGGGAGCAAAGCGGG